rnacentral:rRNA from 1 species
CCUACGGGAGGCAGCAGUGGGGAAUAUUGCGCAAUGGGCGAAAGCCUGACGCAGCGACGCCGCGUGAGGGAUGAAGGUCUUCGGAUCGUAAACCUCUGUCAGCAGGGAAGAACGGUCACUGUGCUAAUCAGCAGUGAAUUGACGGUACCUGCAAAGGAAGCACCGGCUAACUCCGUGCCAGCAGCCGCGGUAAAACGGAGGGUGCGAGCGUUAAUCGGAAUUACUGGGCGUAAAGCGCUCGUAGGCGGUAUGUCAAGUCAAGGGUGAAAUCCCCGCGCUCAACGUGGGAACUGCCUUUGAAACUGGCAAACUGGAGUGUGUGAGAGGAUAGUGGAAUUCCAGGUGUAGGAGUGAAAUGCGUAGAUAUCUGGAGGAACAUCAGUGGCGAAGGCGACUAUCUGGCACAUAACUGACGCUGAGGAGCGAAAGCGUGGGUAGCAAACAGGAUUAGAUACCCUGGUAGUC